AACGUAGGAGACAAACGUUAUCCGGAGUUACUGGGCGUAAAGGGCGUGCAGGCGGUCGACUAAGUCUGGCGUGAAAGCUCUCGGCUAAACCGGGAGAGGUCGUUGGAUACUGGUUGACUAGAGGACGGUAGAGGCGUGUGGAAUUCCGGGUGUAGUGGUGAAAUGCGUAGAGAUCCGGAGGAACACCAGUGGCGAAGGCGACACGCUGGGCCGUACCUGACGCUGAUACGCGAAAGCAUGGGGAGCGAACGGG
rnacentral:rRNA from 1 species